GUUUGUUUUUAUGUUUACAUCUGGGACUUUUUCAAUAUCUGUUUUAAAGUGUUAAAAUUUUUAUAUUUGUUGUUGUACUGAAAUUUAAAAACACGCUUUUCGAAACGUUCUUUUUUUUUUUCGGAUAUUGCUGUCAAAGUUAUUUCUUAUUUAACAAAGCUACCAAAAACCAGUUACGAUUUGAGAUAGAACAUUAAGGUUUAAGAUAAACCUGUUCCUUUUCCCAUUAACGAGUCAACCAUGAAUCCGCGGGAAAUGGAAGGUCUGCAUGAAAUUCUCAGCUGUUUGAGUCUUGAUCACCUAAAAGAAAUUGCCAUGAUUACCACCAGUCAUAUGAUGGAUGAUCAUUUCACUGGAGUCAUGGCUCCUGAUUUAGUGAAUGAAAUCAUUAAAAGUGCUUCUAAUGCCUCUGAGGUCCUCCACCGACAGAAAGUAUCAAAGGAACUUUUGCUCAAGUAUUUGCGAAGGAAAGGGUUUGAUCCAGACCCAAAAGCCAAAAAAAUUGUAUACAUUAAAACUUGCUUAUCUCUUUGGAAUAAUUGUGGUGAUUUAAAAUCUCCAGUAUACUGAAUGUAUGUUUUUAUUUUUGUUUUGUUCAGUAUUGUAUUUUUUUUAUAAAUCUGUUAGUGUAUAACAGGUGCCACAACAGGUUUUCAUUUUAUUAUCUCAAAAAUUAAAGUAAUCUUUCAGUAAGGAAAUUAUUUAAAUGCUGUACUAUUAAAAAAUUUAAAUGAUUGUUUAUAAGAUAUAACCUUGUAUUAUAUGAAAAGAUAAUUUUGGAGCAGCUAUCAAAGAUAUUAUUUGCUCUUCUAGUUAUUAUUAUUAUUUUUUUAUGAAUGCAGGUGCACUAACUGUUAUGGAUUAUUUGCUUCUUUAUCAGUUUCAUCAUAAUAAAUUAAAUUUAAAGGACAAACUGAAUUACAGUAAAUGAUUAUAAUUUAUAUUUGCUCAAGGAAACAUUUUUCUGUUUUAUUUUUUUCUGUCAUAAUAUAUUCCUUGAUAAUAAAUAUAUUAUGACCUAAUUAAUUUUAGAAAUCUGAAGAAAUUGUUAUUUUGGAUUAAAAUUUUACAUAGCUAAAUAUCUCGGCUUUCUUUUUAGCAUAAGUGUAAUAUAUAGAUCUAUAUUAAACUUUAACAGAUGUUUGAACAGGAAAAAAAAAAAAAAAAAAACCCACCAAAAAGCUUAUUUAAAUUUUAGCUUAACAGCUACAAGCUUAACAAAUUAUUCAUUAAUUCUGAGAAAUUAAACAAAACUUUAAUAACAUUAUUUUUCAGUAUAGCUAGAUGUGUCUGUUACAUGCAAUUUCCUUACUGAUUCAUUAUUGAAUUUUAUAUUUUGAGAAUAGAAAAAAUCUAAUUAUGUUUUAGAUUUAGUUUUGGUAAUUUUAAUUAAAUAUAUUUACAUGUAGUCUGUGUGUAUUACUGUUUGGUCUGUUGUAAUGUAUGCUUAUAAAAAAGCAAAAAUAUUAUUCUUAAUUUUUUUAUUCUCAUUACAGAACGUGAAUGUCAAAAGCGCAUAAUAAACUACCUCAUGAAUGUGUUUUAUCUUACAAAGUAUUUUUGUGUAGUGUUGUCAUAUGGUGAUUUUUUUUACAAAAUCACUGCAAAUUAUUCCUGUUGUUAUUUUUUUUUAACGUCCUUUAAGUUUUGAUAUAUGUAGCAUUUUUUUAAACAUAUUUUUUCCUUUUUUAAAAAAAAUCUUAUAUUUAAAGAUUUGUUUCUCUUCAAUUUAUUAAGAAUUAUACUUUAAUAAUUGAAUAUCACUUAUUUUUAUGGUAAUUUAUCAUUUACUAGUUAUCGAGCAUAAUUUCUUUUCAUGUACAUUAUCUAUUUAUACUUUUGUGUGCUGUAUUACAAUCACAUUUUUACAUAUGUAGAUUUUUGUGCAGUUAUCUGAAGAAUCAGUUUUUCCACAACUUGACAUUUUGAAAUUGUUACAAAUUAGUAAUUAUCUUUUUUGGAAAAGAUUUUGAAAUUUGUAACACAGCUAUGCGUUGUUUCAAGUUGAGGCACAUUGAAUAAUUUGAUUUUAUUUCAGUAUGGCACAUUGUGUUUUAAAAUUUAAAAAAUAUCUAAUCAUGGUUGCAGAUUUUCAAGCUUUUAAGGACAUAAUAAGACAUUUUCUUACAUUUAUUUUAACAAAACAGUGUUUUGCAUUAAUAUUUAAAGUCUUAUAUAUAUAUAUAUUAUAAGUUUUCUUGCUUUUAGGAAUACAAAGUUAUAAAAUUUUUUCUUCUUUUAAAUUCUGUAUUUUAUUUGGAAUACUAAUUUUGUAGUAUUAACUAUAAGAUAAGAAAGUUGUGUCAUAUUUUACAAUUGGAAUAAAGAGAUACAUAAUAUAAUUUCUGUUAGUUUUCCUUCAAUUUAAACAAGGUACAAGAAGAAACAAAACAUUGGUCUUAGGUGCUUAUUAACCCUCUUGCUGCGUAAUUCUUUUAUCAAAAUAGGUUCAAAAAUUGUAAGACGUUUCCUGCCAGACAUCUUUGAGCUUUGAAAGGAGCCUGCAAAAUGCUGCAAAACAUGUAUAUUUUGCAGAACCAUGAACAAUUUACGCUAUCUGUCAACCCAGAUCUGAAUGAAACCAUGAACGGGAAAAGAGUGGGUUGCAUAGCUAAAUAAGACGGCAAAAGGCAUCCCGCAGAAAUUGCGGGUUGCACAAAUUUUGCUACUUCUACAUUGCUCGUUAAAAUCGCGUAAUAUGCAGCGAGAGGAUUAAGCUAGUUUUUAUCUAUAGUGUUGUACUUUCUUCAGUGAAUACUUCAUAUUUAUUCUUAAUUAGCCAUGAAGAAAAAAUAUUUAACUUUGCUCCAGAACUAACCAUGAUUUAUUACAAUCUAAUUAGCAAGCAUUGAUGUAUCAUAACCAGAAAAAAAAAUGAAACCAUUCAUCAUUCUAUCUCUUAUGUGAUUUGUAAUUAAAAGAAUACAGUUGAAACUUAAAUUCCCUAUUAUUUACUGAAAAAUGCCAAGAAUUAUUUAUAGUAAAUUACUUCAAAGCUAUAUUAUUAAAUAGGUUUCGAGUUGUGUACUCAAUGGAAUUAUGUUUCUACUACUUCCAUUUAUAUUAAUUUCUUUUAAUUUUGGACUUUUUUUUUUUCCUGAAUGCUUUUUUUUUAAAAAUUAGUAUAUGCACUCAAGUUUUAAAUUUUUUAAUAAAAUAUCAGUAGAAAGGAAAUGGCUUUGUAUUUGAAUGUGCUGGACUCUUGCCUUGUUCUUCCUUUAUUUUUUUUAAAUUUUUUUUUAACGUCAUUUGAAUACUUUAAUUUUGCAAAAUAGUCUCCUUCAAAUUUAUUAUUUUUGUACUUUAUAAAUGCAUUUAUUUAACACUAUUCAUAAUCAUAAUAAUAUAUUAAGCAAAAUCAACUUAAUAUCUGUUCAAAUACAAAUAUGAUUUCUGAAGGAAAUGAUACUAAUUAAAUUAUAUUGGAAUUACUUUAUUUUUUUCAAUAAAAAAAAUCAAUCUGUUUUAAUUAACAUUUAUUUAAGAUUAAGAAGGAGAAUAUGUUAUUUUUAAAUUAUGUUUUGUAGCUCAAAACAUGCCAUUUUAUUAUUUUCUUAUCAUUAUAUAUAUAUAUGUAUUUAACUUUUAAUUUGCAGUUGUAUAUGUCAUUUUAUAUGACAUGAAUCUUUUUUUUCUUGUUACUUUUUUUUUAUAUAACACGGGUAGCCAAUAUUGAACUCAAGGAAAUUCAUACAUUGAGCUUUAUAAAUGACUUUUUCUGACCAAAAAUUGUUGUCCUUCUGUUUGAAAUACUUGAUUCUUUCAUGAAUUUGAAUAUCAUCACUAUAUAUAUAUGUAUUGAAAGAAAAGUUCAAGUGAUAAUAUUUUUUAAAUGAGAUUAUUUAAUAUAUUUAUUGUUAAUUAUAGUCAUUUUUCUGUUAAUAUUGUUAAUUAAAUUAUCUAAUUGUUUGUGAUCCUGUCAUGGAAUCAUACAUGUGAAAUAUUUAUGCUGAUUACAUUUUUAUUUACUCUAAAAGUGGCUCAUUUUGAAAAUUUUUAUAACUUUUUCUUAUAUUUAGUCAGAAUUUCUGACCAUUUAUAUUAAGCCUGUCAUUUAUAACAGGCUUCAGAGGGAAAAGGAAUUUCCUCUUUAAAAACUGAAUGUACGUGUAAUCUGUCCUACCUCUAAGUACCAAAGUGUAAUGCGAGUAAUAAAUGCUUGCUUUUAUUUCUUGUAAAUGUGCCGUCAGCAAUUAAAUUGCAUAUAUGUUAGCAUGAUCUUUUACUAUGGUAUAAUAUUUGUUAGUUGUGUGAUUGUGAAAGUAGUACACUUUUUGUGAUGUAUACUUUCUUGUAGAAUAAAUUUUACCUUUAAAUAAAGAUUGAUUUAUUAGUGA